rnacentral:rRNA from 1 species
GAUGAACGCUGGCGGCGUGCCUAAUACAUGCAAGUCGAGCGAACGGACGAGAAGCUUGCUUCUCUGAUGUUAGCGGCGGACGGGUGAGUAACACGUGGAUAACCUACCUAUAAGACUGGGAUAACUUCGGGAAACCGGAGCUAAUACCGGAUAAUAUUUUGAACCGCAUGGUUCAAAAGUGAAAGACGGUCUUGCUGUCACUUAUAGAUGGAUCCGCGCUGCAUUAGCUAGUUGGUAAGGUAACGGCUUACCAAGGCAACGAUGCAUAGCCGACCUGAGAGGGUGAUCGGCCACACUGGAACUGAGACACGGUCCAGACUCCUACGGGAGGCAGCAGUAGGGAAUCUUCCGCAAUGGGCGAAAGCCUGACGGAGCAACGCCGCGUGAGUGAUGAAGGCCUUCGGAUCGUAAAACUCUGUUAUUAGGGAAGAACAUAUGUGUAAGUAACUGUGCACAUCUUGACGGUACCUAAUCAGAAAGCCACGGCUAACUACGUGCCAGCAGCCGCGGUAAUACGUAGGUGGCAAGCGUUAUCCGGAAUUAUUGGGCGUAAAGCGCGCGUAGGCGGUUUUUUAAGUCUGAUGUGAAAGCCCACGGCUCAACCGUGGAGGGUCAUUGGAAACUGGAAAACUUGAGUGCAGAAGAGGAAAGUGGAAUUCCAUGUGUAGCGGUGAAAUGCGCAGAGAUAUGGAGGAACACCAGUGGCGAAGGCGACUUUCUGGUCUGUAACUGACGCUGAUGUGCGAAAGCGUGGGGAUCAAACAGGAUUAGAUACCCUGGUAGUCCACGCCGUAAACGAUGAGUGCUAAGUGUUAGGGGGUUUCCGCCCCUUAGUGCUGCAGCUAACGCAUUAAGCACUCCGCCUGGGGAGUACGACCGCAAGGUUGAAACUCAAAGGAAUUGACGGGGACCCGCACAAGCGGUGGAGCAUAUGGUUUAAUUCGAAGCAACGCGAAGAACCUUACCAAAUCUUGACAUCCUUUGACAACUCUAGAGAUAGAGCCUUCCCCUUCGGGGGACAAAGUGACAGGUGGUGCAUGGUUGUCGUCGGCUCGUGUCGUGAGAUGUUGGGUUAAGUCCCGCAACGAGCGCAACCCUUAAGCUUAGUUGCCAUCAUUAAGUUGGGCACUCUAAGUUGACUGCCGGUGACAAACCGGAGGAAGGUGGGGAUGACGUCAAAUCAUCAUGCCCCUUAUGAUUUGGGCUACACACGUGCUACAAUGGACAAUACAAAGGGCAGCGAAACCGCGAGGUCAAGCAAAUCCCAUAAAGUUGUUCUCAGUUCGGAUUGUAGUCUGCAACUCGACUACAUGAAGCUGGAAUCGCUAGUAAUCGUAGAUCAGCAUGCUACGGUGAAUACGUUCCCGGGUCU